rnacentral:rRNA from 1 species
UGAACGCUGGCGGUAUGCUUUACACAUGCAAGUCGAACGGAUUAAAGAGCUUGCUCUUUAGUUAGUGGCGAACGGGUGAGUAAUAUAUCGGAACAUAUCCGGAAGUGGGGGAUAACGCAGCGAAAGUUACGCUAAUACCGCAUAUGCCCUGAGGGGGAAAGGGGGGGAUCGCAAGACCUCUCGCUUUCGGAGUGGCCGAUACCGGAUUAGCUUGUUGGUGAGGUAAAGGCUCACCAAGGCGACGAUCCGUAGCUGGUCUGAGAGGACGACCAGCCACACUGGAACUGAGACACGGUCCAGACUCCUACGGGAGGCAGCAGUGGGGAAUUUUGGACAAUGGGCGCAAGCCUGAUCCAGCCAUACCGCGUGAGUGAAGAAGGCCUUCGGGUUGUAAAGCUCUUUCAGCCGGAAAGAAAUCGCGUUUAUUAAUACUAAGCGUGGAUGACGGUACCGGAAGAAGAAGCACCGGCUAACUACGUGCCAGCAGCCGCGGUAAUACGUAGGGUGCGAGCGUUAAUCGGAAUUACUGGGCGUAAAGCGUGCGCAGGCCGUUUUCUAAGACAGAUGUGAAAUCCCCGGGCUUAACCUGGGAACUGCAUUUGUGACUGGAAGACUAGAGUGUAGCAGAGGGGGGUAGAAUUCCACGUGUAGCAGUGAAAUGCGUAGAGAUGUGGAGGAAUACCAAUGGCGAAGGCAGCCCCCUGGGUUAACACUGACGCUCAUGCACGAAAGCGUGGGGAGCAAACAGGAUUAGAUACCCUGGUAGUCCACGCCCUAAACGAUGUCAACUAGGUGUUGGGGAAGGAGACUUCUUUAGUACCGCAGCUAACGCGUGAAGUGACC